GACUACCAGAGGAACCCUGAGAGCAGAGCUGAUCUCCAGAGAGUUCAUUCAGCAUAAACUGCGUGUCUGAAGCUGUACCAUUAAUCACCUUACCUUUAUUGUUCCUACAGCAGCUAGUGAAGCAGUGUGUCAUUUAUGAAAGUUCUGUAAGAUAAAUAAACACAUCUAUUCACUCAGAACGCUUUCUAGUACACAUGGGGUAGAAGGUACUUUAAAAGUCUCUCUGAAAAUCUGUCUUCUUUCGUGAAAACUUAAUAAUAAUAAAAAAAAAAGCUAUAAAACCAAGCCAGCAGCCUGACCCAAGUCCAGACCUCAGCCUUCCCCAACCAGACCAACACCGUGUGACUGCAACAGAUACAAGAACUAUGAAGGUACUUUCUGCUGAGUCACCACUAAGUAACAACGUUGAGGUAAUGUCACCAGCUUUGGAUGAAGCAAGCACAAGAGAAGACUAUUUAGAGGCAAAAUUACACUAACUUUGGUUUUCCAUUGUUCCAGGAAGCCAGCAGCUAUUUAGCAUCAGAUGAUUCAUUACUUUCAGUCAUAUGGGAGGAAAAAUAAAUAUGCAUAUACUGAAAACACCGGAUGUGGAUGUGGCUUUGUGUGCUGUAGGAAUGGAAGAAAAUUAAGGACAAACUGCAUGGAAUUGGAAAGGACAAACAACAAAAUCACUUGGACAUCUACCAGUGGGGAUGAUUUUCUUGAGAUAAGCAUAUCUAUAGCUUAUAGUCAGCUCUAGUGAGAUGGCUUGAGGGAUUCCUCUGUGGUCAUGAUUGCAAACACUAUUCAAGAGAAAUAAAUACAAUUGUGAAAAGCAGCUUCUUUGGCUAUGCCGGCCUCUUCUCUGGAAAGUGAACUCAGACUAUUUGCCUCAUUGUAUCUAUCCUGCUGUCCAUAAAAUAAAUGAAUUCCUUACCCUAGCAACACAGUAGCUGCACAUGAAUUUAGUUUGAAAUAUUACUCAUGUAUUGGCAUAUUAGGACAAAUAAGAUUAUCUUAAAAAAUAUGAGUGUUUGUUAAUAUCUUGCAUUUUUGUUUGUUUAAUGGGUGAAACUUUCUAUUACAAUAUUUUAAAAUCUCUUGCACAAACAUUAAGAUAUUAUGUCCCUUAAUAAAAUCACUUAUUUCUUCCUGUUCUUUCCCUGAAUAGAUCCUUUAUCUUGUUUCAAGUUCUGAAAGCACGCACGUGAGCUGGGCUCUUGCAGCAGGUUUCCUGUUUUGCCAAAGGCUGGUUGCAUAAUUUUGACCAAACCAAGGUUUUGACUUGUUGGUCACUGAAUGACCUGCUUUUUUUUUUUCUUCUCUAUUUCUCAGGUUCUUUUGACCAAAAAACUCUCAAAAGUUAAACACAUUUUAUGUAUCUGGGCAUGGAUUUAUAACAAAUGCUGUACUGGUUCAAACCAGGAUCACUGGUUUCAAACCAGUGCCAAAAACAGUGGCCAGAAGCAGAUGUGCAAGAAGACUUAAGGGCAUAACAUAUGUAUGAUAUUUUGUUUUGAUACUUGCCCAUUCUAUACCCGCCCCUGCUGUCAUUAGUUCAGGAGAUUUCCUGAAUGUGUUGUGGUUUGCUUACUUAGUAACCCACAUGGAUUUCUCUUCCAAGUACUUGUUAGUCUCCUCUUGAAUCUAGGAGAACAUUUCAUAAGUGUAACACAAUUUAGCAAGGCCUGCCAUGUAUGUAAUCUCUAAUACUGUGUGAAGAAACAGCGACUUCUAUCUCUUUUGAGCCAGGCCCCUUUUGUGCUGUGUGGUACUCAGAGCUCGGAAACACCGAUUCAUGCCAGUAUCUGUCCUCAGACUUGAGACGUAUUUUCAUCCUGAAUGGUAUUAUGCUUGGACAAAGCUGUGAGGUGUAAACUGAUGCCAUAGGUGCAUGACAUCUCUGUGUUGGGUUUGCAGAUAAAGGAAAGUGAGUGCGUGUAUUGGUCCAUGGUCCCAUUUCAUUCCUUGCACUGGGACGACCUCCAGGAAGCCUGGGAAGAUCUCUGUUUACCUCUGCAGAUACUGCUGAUUUCAAAGUGGUGUGAUGUACUAAAUAUAUGUGAAAAAAAAUACCAUCAAUAUUUGCAUUACAGUGUAAAUAUUUAGUAAAAGAAUUUGGCUUAUGAUUUCUUGGAAAGCCUACAUGGCUCGAGAAGUCUAAC